rnacentral:rRNA from 1 species
GUCUAUGGCCAUGCUACCCUGAACAAUCCUGAGCGCAUCUGAUCUGAGAAGCUAAGCAGGGUCAGGCCUGGUUUAAUACUUGGAUGGGAGACCACCUAGGAAGAUCAGUUGCUCUAGGUG